rnacentral:snRNA from 1 species
AAAUGUGAAGGUGAUCUGGUUGUGACAUCUGUCACCCCAUUGAUUGCUAGUGUUGAUUCAGAUGAUCUGGCUAGUUAGGUGAGUGUCCCUUUCCUCCCUCACCAAUCCAUGUGUAUCUCUCUCAAAACUGCACUCAGCUGCAGAUCAUGUUCCCCAGCAAAGGAGGUCUGGUCUAGCAACCAUGUAUGAGUAGCUGCACUCCUCUGCUGGACCUCCCAAUAAGCCCUCAAGAAUGAGAGAGCACCAGGAAGAAACUUUUUCCUAUAACUUAG